rnacentral:misc_RNA from 1 species
GGUUGGAUCAUUAAAAAUGAAGGCUUGCCUUCGUUUGUACCGUACUCGAACCGUCACGGGGAGAGUAUCGGUCAAAUCACCCUUUGUGCACUGUACUGUAUUUUGGGAUGGUGUUUUAACGCAUUGUCCCAGCCAUUUUUAACAAACCCCUUUAAUUUGACUGACAUUGUAUUUAAAAUAUACAACUUUUGACAACGGAUCUCUUGGCUCUCGCAACGAUGAAGAACGCAGCGAAAUGCGAUACGUAAUGUGAAUUGCAGAAUUCCGUGAAUCAUCGAAUCUUUGAACGCAUAUUGCACUCUCUUUACGGAGAGUAUGCCUGUUUGAGAAUCUAUAGUAUUUAUUCUUGAUUUAUCAAGAGAUUUGGGACUUCCCACUGUAAAGUGGGUGACCUUAAACCUAUAGCUCAAUACGCUGUGGGGAUGUUUGACGUCUUUACAAUGUUUGCGAAACAGUGUUUGAAUGAAACCGUGGUUUCUCAUAAUGCCUAGUACGUAGACGGUAAAGACUAGUCUUCACGGUUAUCGGGUCCAUAAUCUUGAAGGUUGGGGUGUUUACGCGCCUUUGCCUUGAACAAUGGUCUCAAAUCAGGCAGGAAGACCCGCUGAACUUAAGCAUAUCAAUAAGCGGAGGAAAAGAAACUAACAAGGAUUCCCCUAGUAACGGCGAGUGAAGCGGGAACAGCUCAAAUUUGAAAUCUCGCGGGUUCCCCGUGCGAAUUGUAGUUUAGAGAAACGUUUUCGGGGUAGACUUUGGGUACAAGUUCUUUGGAACAAGGCAUCAUAGAGGGUGAAAAUCCCGUCUUUGACCCAAGGCUCUACUUCAUGUGAUACGUUUUCCAAGAGUCGGUUUGUUUGGGAAUGCAGACCAAAAUGGGUGGUAAAUACCAUCUAAAGCUAAAUAUUGGCGAGAGACCGAUAGCGAACAAGUACCGUGAGGGAAAGAUGAAAAGAACUUUGAAAAGAGAGUUAAACAGUACGUGAAAUUGUCAAAAGGGAAACGCUUGAAACCAGUAUUGCUGGCAGGAAUUCAGCCUUUUGGGUGCAUUUUCCUGUUUGCGAGUCAACAUCAGUUUGACUUGAAGUAAAAAGCCGUGGGAAGGUAGCCCUCGGGUAUUAUAGCCUGCGGCCAUGCUUUGAGUUGGACUGAGGACUGCAGCGUUUUUUGGGGAACCGAUCGCCUUUGGAAGUAGCUGGCUUAAAUGCAUGCAGAUAAGCUUGUCUAUCAAGAAGUACGGUCGGUGUACCACACCAGCGCUUAGGAUGUUGACGAAAUGGUUUUAAACGACCCGUCUUGAAACACGGACCAAGGAGUCUAACAUAUAUGCGAGUAUUUGGGUGGUAAACCCUUAUGCGUAAUGAAAGUGAAAAGGUGGGAUUCUUUAUUGAUGCACCAUCGACCGCGCCAGAUUAUUACUAUCUCGGCGUGAGUAUGAGCAUACAUGCUGGGACCCGAAAGAUGGUGAACUAUGCCUGAAUAGGGUGAAGCCAGAGGAAACUCUGGUGGAGGCUCGUAGCGGUUCUGACGUGCAAAUCGAUCGUCGAAUUUGGGUAUAGGGGCGAAAGACUAAUCGAACCAUCUAGUAGCUGGUUCCCUC